rnacentral:rRNA from 1 species
UACGUAGGGUGCGAGCGUUGUCCGGAAUUAUUGGGCGUAAAGAGCUCGUAGGCGGUGUGUCGCGUCGGUCGUGAAAACUUGGGGCUUAACCCUGAGCUUGCGGUCGAUACGGGCAUCACUGGAGUUCGGCAGGGGAGACUGGAAUUCCUGGUGUAGCGGUGAAAUGCGCAGAUAUCAGGAGGAACACCAGUGGCGAAGGCGGUGCUCUGGGCCGGAACUGACGCUGAGGAGCGAAAGCGUGGGGAGCAAACAGG